rnacentral:lncRNA from 1 species
GCCUUCGUCACAAGUCGGAGAUGGUUAUUUUUGAAGCUGCUAGAGCAAUAACAGAGCUCAAUGGUGUAACAAGUCGAGAAUUAACUCCAGCAAUUACUGUUCUUCAACUAUUUUUAAGUUCUUCUAAGCCAGUGUUGAGAUUUGCUGCUGUCCGCACCUUGAACAAGGUAAUAAUUUCUCAAAUUUUACUGAACUAAUUUUUAUGCUGCUGCAGAAUAAUGGGAUAUUUGAAAUGUCACUCAAGUCUGAAAGCUCCCUGCCCGUGUUCUUUUUCCUUUUAUGACUUGGAGGAGUUGAUAGAAAAUCAAUACUCUCACUGUUUGCUAAAUAUUCUAAUGAUAUAUGUGAUGGUCAAACUGGACAGGGUUUAAUCAUUAAUGUGACUUUGAAACUUUACAGGUGGCAAUGACACAUCCAAUGGCAGUCACCAACUGCAACAUUGAUAUGGAAAGUUUAAUCUCUGAUCAGAACAGAAGCAUUGCUACCCUUGCUAUUACUACACUUUUGAAAACAGGAAAUGAAUCUAGUGUGGAUCGUCU